rnacentral:hammerhead_ribozyme from 1 species
GUUCAACUGGCGAGUCUCAAGUAAGACGAAACGCGCGUCCUAGAU